rnacentral:rRNA from 1 species
UACCAGCACCCCGAGUGGUCGGGCCGAUUAUUGGGCCUAAAGCAUCCGUAGCCGGUUUUACAAGUCCUCCGUUAAAUCCAGCUGCUUAACAGAUGGGCUGCGGAGGAUACUAUAAGACUAGGAGGCAGGAGAGGCAAGCGGUACUCAGUGGGUAGGGGUAAAAUCCGUUGAUCCAUUGAAGACCACCAGUGGCGAAGGCGGCUUGCCAGAAUGCGCUCGACGGUGAGGGAUGAAAGCUGGGGGAGCAAACCGG